AGAGAAUCUUAAGCGGACUCCACGCUCAGCACAGAGCUGCAGGUGCAAAUCAGUGCUGUUAAGUACGUUACACUGUUUGUGCGACCAUCAUCACCACCCGUCUCCAGAACCUCUUCACCCUCGCAAACUGAAAUUCUGUCCCCAUUACACAGGAGUCCCCACCCACCCACCCAUCAGCCUGUCGGAACCACCACCCGCUGUUCGGUCUUUAUGAACGUGACCGCCCUAAGUAACUCAGAUAAGUGGAAUCAUACAUUUGCCCUUUUGUGCCUGGCUCAUUUCACUUAGCGUAACAUCUUCAAGUUUCA